AAUAUGCUAUGCCGAAAGCAACCACUGAUGCGUACAAGUUCUCUUUCUUCCCACGUACCGUCAAAAUUUGGAAUCACCUACCAGGACCUGUUGUAAUAGGAACAAACCCAGCUGUAUUUAGAGAGGCUGCGCUGCCAUUCAUCCGCUCAAUGCAGCCUCCUGUUGGGUCUCUUAUGCUGUAAACCAAGAGGCAAUUUUUACUUGCAUGGUGCACAUUCACUUUUAAUAUUGAAAUUUCAAAUUACUUCACCAUGGCACCUCGCACUGAUACACAGAAUGCUUUCAUCCCAGGAUAGCU